GACGAACGCCGGCGGCGUGCUUAACACAUGCAAGUCGAACGGUAAGGCCCUUCGGGGUACACGAGUGGCGAACGGGUGAGUAACACGUGGGUGAUCUGCCCUGCACUUCGGGAUAAGCCUGGGAAACUGGGUCUAAUACCGGAUAGGACCACUGCCUGCAUGGGUGGUGGUGGAAAGCUUUUGCGGUGUGGGAUGGGCCCGCGGCCUAUCAGCUUGUUGGUGGGGUGAUGGCCUACCAAGGCGACGACGGGUAGCCGGCCUGAGAGGGUGACCGGCCACACUGGGACUGAGAUACGGCCCAGACUCCUACAGGAGGCAGCAGUGGGGAAUAUUGCACAAUGGGCGCAAGCCUGAUGCAGCGACGCCGCGUGAGGGAUGACGGCCUUCGGGUUGUAAACCUCUUUCAGCACCGACGAAGCGCAAGUGACGGUAGGUGCAGAAGAAGGACCGGCCAACUACGUGCCAGCAGCCGCCGUAA
rnacentral:rRNA from 1 species